GUCCUCCUCAGAGGAGACGGUGACAUCAUCCUAGGGACCCGGACCCCAGGACGGCACUGAGGUAACCGUGUGGAGUCACCUUAGGGAGCCCUUCCUGCCCGAGCAGGUCUGUCCACCUCUGAGGCCCAGACGCAGGUCCCGGGGCCAGUCUGGUGGAAGCCACUGUCCUGCCGUCACCGUCACCAGGUCCUCUAGAGAGGGGACUUUGUGAUUCACUUAAAAAUUCCCGCGCAGCCCCCCGACCCGGCAGGGUGGCUCUGCCAACCACGUGCGCCGUUGUUCAGAGCAUGGAAACCUGAUCCGCGUCAACCUCAGUGCUGUCCCCUCCACGAGGACAGGACAUGGGGUCGUCUCAAUGGGUGCUGAAGAAGCAUUUUAAAAUCCAAGAUCCGGCCCUGACUAAGAGCCCGCAGCCCAGCAGGGUACAAAGGAGCGUCUCCAAGGUGACGCCGGCUUCCUCUCAAUCCUGCCGCCCGGCCGGCCGUCCUUAGUGGUGGCCGGCGGCUGCCCCUGUACAUCAGGAAUCAGUGGAGAGCCACACGCCCUCCUCUCAGCCUUGUCCUGCAGACGCUGACCGGUGCAAUCAGGGAAAUAAGAGCAGACGUGAAGAGGAGAAGCGGAAGCGUCUUCACGCAGACACAGCCUGGUCCAGAGGGCGACUCUGCAAAGCUGAGCUCAGAGAGUUGAGGACCAAGUCCAAUAGGUAGAACCAAGUGAUGUUCCCCUGCUGUUUACUCGACCAAGGGACGAUCAGAAACCGAUCUCGUUUUGAAACACCCAGGGCUGAGUUGGGGAAAUACGUACAGGACUCCUGCCCUUGAAACCACAAAACACUGGGAAGAGAAAGAGAAGAAGAAGAUCCAGAAACGGACACUGUCCAUGGCUCCGAAGGCUCCCCAAUGUCCCGUUGGUCGUCCCCACACUGAUCUGUGAUUGUAGCACAGUCUUGAGCAAAACCCCGACAGGAGUCUUCCUACAGCCCAGCGGGCUCAUUCUGCCUGCACUGGCCAUCGACAAAGACCCGGAGAGCCACGACCACUUGGAGAGACCAGGACCUCAAGGAAAGACUGGCCCUGACCGACUUUGAGCUGUGUUCUACAGUCGAAGUCAUCGAGAGGAGGUGCCGACGCACCAGGAGCUUCACGGGGCAGAGUAGCCCCACGCGUGCGUGGACAGCGGAUUUUUGGAAAAGGCAGGAGG
rnacentral:lncRNA from 1 species